AACAGGUGCUAAAACAUGAAAUUAGGCAUCCACAUUAAUCACACAAGUAGAGGUAAAUGGGUUUGAUCUAAUCUGAGAUGUGGCUGUAUGGUGAUUAAGAUUCAGGGGCUGAAUAUUCUUGCGUACUUGGCAUUUCAAAUGGACAGACAAAGUGAAAAAGAAGCAAUAAAUGCGAUAAAGGAUGGGAUGAGAAUGUUGGUGAAAAUGGAUCCUGACUCACAACAGUAAAAUGUAGAGUUUGAGUGGAUAACAAGAACAUCCUGUACAUCUAGUUUUAAAAUGUAUUGUCUUCACAUUUACCUGAAAGGUAUAAAUUGGCAGAAUUACAAGAUCUUUUCUCCGAUCUUUGAACUGCACAGGUUCAUAACAUACGAGAGUAAAUGGAAGGGAAACGGAAGAAUUUGGCGGGAAAGUUCAAGACUCUUACAUUCAGAAUUUAAUAAAUGUUUCACUUUAAGUGUGCCAAUUUACCAGGACAUGACUAUGUUG